CAGUAGCCGCGGUAAUACGUAGGUGGCAAGCGUUGUCCGGAAUUAUUGGGCGUAAAGCGCGCGCAGGCGGAUCGGUCAGUCUGUCUUAAAGGUUCGGGGCUUAACCCCGUGAUGGGAUGGAAACUGCCAAUCUAGAGUAUCGGAGAGGAAAGUGGAAUUCCUAGUGUAGCGGUGAAAUGCGUAGAUAUUAGGAAGAACACCAGUGGCGAAGGCGACUUCCUGGACGAAAACUGACGCUGAGGCUCGAAAGCCAGGGGAGCGAACGGGAUUAGAUACCCCCGUAGUCCCUGUCUCUUAUACA
rnacentral:rRNA from 1 species